rnacentral:rRNA from 1 species
CACGUAGGGUGCGAGCGUUGUCCGGAAUUAUUGGGCGUAAAGAGCUCGUAGGCGGUGUGUCGCGUCGGCCGUGAAAACCUGCAGCUUAACUGUGGGCUUGCGGUCGAUACGGGCAUCACUGGAGUUCGGCAGGGGAGACUGGAAUUCCUGGUGUAGCGGUGAAAUGCGCAGAUAUCAGGAGGAACACCGGUGGCGAAGGCGGGUCUCGUGGGCCGAUACUGACGCUGAGGUGCGAAAGCGUGGGGAGCAAACAGG